UUCCCCUCAGUCUUUUAUAGUGUCAGAUAGGCCUAGAGAAUCACAAAAGGCUACAAGUCACAUCAUGGGUCCCAUCUUUCGUAUGAUAUUCACAGUAACAGCAGGUGUACUGGCCAUCUCAGAGGAAAUAGGUAAGAGGACAUUUUUUAAAUCCUAAAAUGCAGAGAUCAAAUCAUUUGCGUUCAUCUACAGUUUAAGCCGUUUUAUUCCAAACAUGUUUAUUACAAAGACGUUUAAUUGUCCUUAAUGCUCUCUUUCACUCUCAAAUGAUGUAGCUGUCUACCCCGCCAUGCUUUUUGGAUCAAAGUCUCAAGUUAGAAAGGGAGAUACUAUAGUUUUGAAGUGUAAGAUCUCUGGCAUCAAAAGAUCCUGGGACAAGGUUCAUGUGUACAUUUGCAAGAAUGGAGUUGGGAUGAAAAUGAAGGUUCUGGAGAAAGGGGCAGGUGAUACCAUUUUCACCAUGAAGGAUGUUACAAGAAAUGACUCAGGCACCUACAGCUGUGUCUACACCAGAGAUAAACUCGCACCCAGUCAGGUGUUCUCAACAGGCAAGGAUUUAGUAGCCAUCCAGGUCAACGUAGAGGCUGCACAUGAUGUGAUACUGGUCAAUGUAAUCCGACUGAUAAGUUCAGCUGUUGUGGUCAUACUUCUGCUGACUGUAGUGGCUGUUAGUUCAUGCUGUUCAAAAACAGAGAAAAGAGCCAAGCAGCGACUGCCCAAGGAAGAUACUUGAGGCACUGAAGCUAAAAAGGACUACUACAGUAUGUACUGUAAUCUGCCAACCUGGUCCAAUGGUACAAUUUGACGGUGACCCCAAGGGGCAAGUUUGCUUUACAGGGACAGCCUUUUGUCGAGAAAAUGUGGGAAAUGAAUGAGCAACCUACAAUCAAUAACCAAUGAUACUUUUCUCAAUGGUUAUUUGUAGUACUGUUUUUGGCUUUAUCUGCUAUACAUGUGUUGUAACAUUACCUGAUGCUAUGGGGUAGUGACGUUCACUGUAAAGGAAUUAAUUCAGAAUAUAUUGACAGAAUGCUUAAGAAUGUAUAUAGUUUGUUUAUUGGUAUAAUUAAGCAAUAAGGCACUAGGGUGUGUGGUUUAUGGCCAAUAUACCACGGCUAAGGGCUGUUAUUAUGAAUACCAUAUAGCCAUAUAUCACAAAUCCCUGAGGUGACUUAUUUCUAUUAUAAACUGGCUACCGGUGUAAUUAGAGCAGUAAAAAUAAAUGUUUUGUCAUACCCAUGGUAUACGGUCUGAUAUAUCACGGCUGUCAGCCAAUCAGCAUUCAGGGCUGGAACCACCCAGUUAAUAAUUCAUCUUAAGAUUCAGGAGUAUAAGGCUUUUUUUGUAUAUUGAAGGAAAACUCCACCCAAAAACUAUAUUUUGGUAUUUGUUUCAUUAGUCCAUUGUUGAUAUAGUCCCAAAAUGUUUUGCAUGUCAUCAAUCAAGUUUAGAAAAUAUGUAACUUUAAAAAUACUGAUAUCUGGCACAUAUAAUGCAUUUUGCAUCAUCUGAUACAAAAUGCACAAUACGGGCCAGAUUUCUGUAUUUUGAAAGUUAUAUAUCUUCAAAACUUCAUUGUUGACAUGCAAUGGACUAAUGAAACAAAUACCAAAAGAUAGUUUUUGGAUGAAGUUUUUUUUAAUAGAUAU
rnacentral:lncRNA from 8 species